rnacentral:rRNA from 1 species
UACGUAGGGUGCGAGCGUUAAUCGGAAUUACUGGGCGUAAAGAGUGCGUAGGCGGUUCGUUAUGUCUGUGGUGAAAGCCCUGGGCUCAACCUAGGAAUGGCCAUGGAAACUGGCGGGCUGGAGUAUGGCAGAGGGGGGUGGAAUUCCGCGUGUAGCAGUGAAAUGCGUAGAGAUGUGGAGGAAUACCGAUGGCGAAGGCAGCCCCCUGGGCCAGUACUGACGCUCAUGCACGAAAGCGUGGGGAGCAAACAGG